rnacentral:tRNA from 1 species
UGUUCGGUGGUGAAGUUAGUUAACGCAUCCUGUCUAACGAAUUGGGAAGACGUGGGUUCAAAUCCCACCAGAACUA